rnacentral:rRNA from 1 species
ACGGGAGGCAGCAGUAGGGAAUCUUGCACAAUGGGCGAAAGCCUGAUGCAGCAACGCCGCGUGAAGGAUGAAGGUCUUUGGAUCGUAAACUUCUGUCCUUGGGGAAGAAGAUCUGACGGUACCCUUGGAGGAAGCCCCGGCUAACUACGUGCCAGCAGCCGCGGUAAUACGUAGGGGGCAAGCGUUAUCCGGAAUUAUUGGGCGUAAAGAGUACGUAGGUGGUUUCUUAAGCGUGGGGUCUAAGGCUAUGGCUUAACCAUAGUUCGCCCCUCGAACUGGGAGACUUGAGUGUAGGAGGGGAAAGCGGAAUUCCUAGUGUAGCGGUGAAAUGCUUAGAUAUUAGGAGGAACACCAGUGGCGAAGGCGGCUUUCUGGACUAUUACUGACACUGAGGUACGAAAGCGUGGGGAGCAAACAGGAUUAGAUACCCUGGUA